AAGGCUUCUAGGCCUUCUGUCUAAGAUCAAGUGUAGUAGCUGUCCUUAUCAGUUUAGUAUCUGGUCCGUCCAGACAGAUGAAAUAUUUAUUCCAACCAAA
ensembl:snRNA U2 U2 spliceosomal RNA